AGAACGAACGCUGGCGGCAGGCUUAACACAUGCAAGUCGAGCGCCCAGCAAUGGGAGCGGCGGACGGGUGAGUAACACGUGGGAACAUGCCUUUCGGUACGGAACAACUGCGGGAAACUGCAGCUAAUGCCGUAUACGCCCUUACGGGGAAAGAUUUAUCGCCGAAAGAUUGGCCCGCGUCUGAUUAGCUAGUUGGUGAGGUAACGGCUCACCAAGGCUUCGAUCAGUAGCUGGUUUGAGAGAACGACCAGCCACAUUGGGACUGAGACACGGCCCAAACUCCUACGGGAGGCAGCAGUGGGGAAUCUUGGACAAUGGGGGAAACCCUGAUCCAGCGAUGCCGCGUGAGUGAUGAAGGCCUUCGGGUUGUAAACUCUUUCGACGGGGACGAUAAUGACGGUACCCGUAGAAGAGCUCCGGCCAACUUCGUGCUAGCAGCCGC
rnacentral:rRNA from 1 species